GACGAACGCUGGCGGCGUGCCUAAUACAUGCAAGUAGAACGCUGAAGGAGGAGCUUGCUCUUCUGGAUGAGUUGCGAACGGGUGAGUAACGCGUAGGUAACCUGCCUGGUAGCGGGGGAUAACUAUUGGAAACGAUAGCUAAUACCGCAUAACAGUAGAUGUUGCAUGACAUUUGCUUAAAAGGUGCAAUUGCCCCACUACCAGAUGGACCUGCGUUGUAUUAGCUAGUUGGUGGGGUAACGGCUCACCAAGGCGACGAUACAUAGCCGACCUGAGAGGGUGAGCGGCCACACUGGGACUGAGACACGGCCCAGACUCCUACGGGAGGCAGCAGUAGGGAAGCUUCGGCAAUGGACGAAAGUCUGACCGAGCAACGCCGCGUGAGUGAAGAAGGUUGUCGGAUCGUAAAGCUCUGUUGUAAGAGAAGAACGAGUGUGAGAGUGGAAAGUUCACACUGUGACGGUAUCUUACCAGAAAGGGACGGCUAACUACGUG
rnacentral:rRNA from 1 species